rnacentral:rRNA from 1 species
UACGUAGGGGCCGAGCGUUGUCCGGAGUUAUUGGGCGUAAAGCGCGCGCAGGCGGCCUCGCGCGCCCGACGUGAAAGCCCCCGGCUUAACCGGGGAGGGUCGUUGGGGACGGCGGGGCUUGAGGGCGGGAGAGGUCGGUGGAAUUCCCGGUGUAGUGGUGAAAUGCGUAGAGAUCGGGAGGAACACCAGAGGCGAAGGCGGCGACCUGGACAGGUACUGACACUCAACUACGAAAGCGUGGGGAGCAAACAGG